UAGGGAAUCUUUGGCAAUGGGGGGAACCCUGACCGAGCAACGCCGCGUGAGUGAAGAAGGUUUUCGGAUCGUAAAGCUCUGUUGUUAAGGAAGAACGAGUGUGAGAAUGGAAAGUUCAUGCUGUGACGGUACUUAACCAGAAAGGGACGGCUAACUACGUGCCAGCAGCCGCGGUAAUACGUAGGUCCCGAGCGUUGUCCGGAUUUAUUGGGCGUAAAGCGAGCGCAGGCGGUUAGAAAAGUCUGAAGUGAAAGGCAGUGGCUCAACCAUUGUAGGCUUUGGAAACUGUUUAACUUGAGUGCAGAAGGGGAGAGUGGAAUUCCAUGUGUAGCGGUGAAAUGCGUAGAUAUAUGGAGGAACACCAGUGGCGAAGGCGACUCUCUGGUCUGUAACUGACGCUGAGGUUCGAAAGCGUGGGUAGCAAACAGG
rnacentral:rRNA from 1 species